rnacentral:rRNA from 1 species
UGUCUAGUAUAGCAUUAUACGGCGAAACUGCGAAUGGCUCAUUAAAUCAGUUAUCGUUUAUUUGAUAGUACCUUACUACUUGGAUAACCGUGGUAAUUCUAGAGCUAAUACAUGCUAAAAAUCCCGACUCACGGAGGGAUGUAUUUAUUAGAUUAAAAACCAAUGCCCUUCGGGGCUUACUGGUGAUUCAUGAUAACUUCUCGAAUCGCAUGGCCUUGUGCCGGCGAUGGUUCAUUCAAAUUUCUGCCCUAUCAACUUUCGAUGGCAGGGUCUUGGCCUGCCAUGGUUACAACGGGUAACGGAGGGUUAGGGCUCGACCCCGGAGAAGGAGCCUGAGAAACGGCUACUACAUCCAAGGAAGGCAGCAGGCGCGCAAAUUACCCAAUCCCGAUACGGGGAGGUAGUGACAAUAAAUACUGAUACAGGGCUCUUUUGGGUCUUGUAAUUGGAAUGAGUACAAUUUAAAUCCCUUAACGAGGAACAAUUGGAGGGCAAGUCUGGUGCCAGCAGCCGCGGUAAUUCCAGCUCCAAUAGCGUAUAUUAAAGUUGUUGCAGUUAAAAAGCUCGUAGUUGAACCUUGGGCCUGGCUGGCCGGUCCGCCUCACCGCGUGCACUGGUUCGGCCGGGCCUUUCCCUCUGGGGAACCCCAUGUCCUUCACUGGGUGUGGUGGGGAACCAGGACUUUUACUGUGAAAAAAUUAGAGUGUUCAAAGCAGGCCUAUGCUCGAAUAGUACAGCAUGGAAUAAUAGAAUAGGACGCGCGGUUCUAUUUUGUUGGUUUCUAGGACCGCCGUAAUGAUUAAUAGGGACAGUCGGGGGCAUCAGUAUUCAAUUGUCAGAGGUGAAAUUCUUGGAUUUAUUGAAGACUAACUACUGCGAAAGCAUUUGCCAAGGAUGUUUUCAUUAAUCAGGAACGAAAGUUAGGGGAUCGAAGACGAUCAGAUACCGUCGUAGUCUUAACCAUAAACUAUGCCGACUAGGGAUCGGACGAUGUUAUUUUUUGACUCGUUCGGCACCUUACGAGAAAUCAAAGUCUUUGGGUCUGGGGGAGUA